rnacentral:rRNA from 1 species
AGCAGCCGCGGUAAUUCCAGCUCCAAUAGCGUAUAUUAAAGUUGUUGCAGUUAAAAAGCUCGUAGUUGAAUUUCGGGAUCGACAGGUUGGUCGCGCCUUCGGUGUGUACUGGUCUAGUCGGUUUCUCCCUUCUGACGAACCACGAUGUCAUUAAUUUGGUGUCGUGGGAAAUCAGGACCGUUACUUUGAAAAAAUUAGAGUGUUUAAAGCAGGCAUUAGCUUGAAUACAUUAGCAUGGAAUAAUAAAAUAGGACGGUGGUCCUGUUUUGUUGGUUUCUGAAUCACCGUAAUGAUUAAUAGGGAUAGUUGGGGGCAUUAGUAUUCAAUUGUCAGAGGUGAAAUUCUUGGAUUUAU